ACAACAUUCGGACCGUCGGUCCACCGAGCAAUAUCACCCGCUCGGUGGAAAAUCUUACCGUUGUCGU
rnacentral:pre_miRNA from 1 species